GUCUACGGCCAUACCACCCUGAAUGCACCCGAUCUCAUCAGAAUGUGACAUUUAAGCUGGGACCUGCUUGAUGAGGGGAAGCAAGAUACGCAGAAGGCUGAGAUACAAGCAUUCUAGAUA
rnacentral:rRNA from 1 species